GUGGGGAAUCUUGCGCAAUGGGCGAAAGCCUGACGCAGCCAUGCCGCGUGAAUGAUGAAGGUCUUAGGAUUGUAAAAUUCUUUCACCGGGGACGAUAAUGACGGUACCCGGAGAAGAAGCCCCGGCUAACUUCGUGCCAGCAGCCGCGGUAAUACGAAGGGGGCUAGCGUUGCUCGGAAUUACUGGGCGUAAAGGGCGCGUAGGCGGAUCGUUAAGUCAGGGGUGAAAUCCCAGAGCUCAACUCUGGAACUGCCCUUGAUACUGGCGAUCUUGAGUGUGAGGGAGGUAUGUGGAACUCCGAGUGUAGAGGUGAAAUUCGUAGAUAUUCGGAAGAACACCAGUGGCGAAGGCGACAUACUGGCUCAUUACUGACGCUGAGGCGCGAAAGCGUGGGGAGCAAACAGGAUUAGAAACCCCAGUAGUCC
rnacentral:rRNA from 1 species